rnacentral:rRNA from 1 species
UAGCAAGGUUAACCGAAUAGGGGAGCCGAAGGGAAACCGAGUCUUAACUGGGCGUUAAGUUGCAGGGUAUAGACCCGAAACCCGGUGAUCUAGCCAUGGGCAGGUUGAAGGUUGGGUAACACUAACUGGAGGACCGAACCGACUAAUGUUGAAAAAUUAGCGGAUGACUUGUGGCUGGGGGUGAAAGGCCAAUCAAACCGGGAGAUAGCUGGUUCUCCCCGAAAGCUAUUUAGGUAGCGCCUCGUGAAUUCAUCUCCGGGGGUAGAGCACUGUUUCGGCAAGGGGGUCAUCCCGACUUACCAACCCGAUGCAAACUGCGAAUACCGGAGAAUGUUAUCACGGGAGACACACGGCGGGUGCUAACGUCCGUCGUGAAGAGGGAAACAACCCAGACCGCCAGCUAAGGUCCCAAAGUCAUGGUUAAGUGGGAAACGAUGUGGGAAGGCCCAGACAGCCAGGAUGUUGGCUUAGAAGCAGCCAUCAUUUAAAGAAAGCGUAAUAGCUCACUGGUCGAGUCGGCCUGCGCGGAAGAUGUAACGGGGCUAAACCAUGCACCGAAGCUGCGGCAGCGACGCUGAUGCGUUGUUGGGUAGGGGAGCGUUCUGUAAGCCUGUGAAGGUGUGCUGUGAGGCAUGCUGGAGGUAUCAGAAGUGCGAAUGCUGACAUAAGUAACGAUAAAGCGGGUGAAAAGCCCGCUCGCCGGAAGACCAAGGGUUCCUGUCCAACGUUAAUCGGGGCAGGGUGAGUCGACCCCUAAGGCGAGGCCGAAAGGCGUAGUCGAUGGGAAACAGGUUAAUAUUCCUGUACUUGGUGUUACUGCGAAGGGGGGACGGAGAAGGCUAUGUUGGCCGGGCGACGGUUGUCCCGGUUUAAGCGUGUAGGCUGGUUUUCCAGGCAAAUCCGGAAAAUCAAGGCU